rnacentral:rRNA from 1 species
AUUGAUACUAAGCCAUGCGAGUCAUUGUAGCAAUACAAGGCAGACGGCUCAGUAACGCGUAGUCAAUCUACCCUAUGGACGGGAAUAACCUCGGGAAACUGAGAAUAAUGCCCGAUAGAACAUUAUGCCUGGAAUGGUUUAUGUUUCAAAUGAUUUAUCGCCAUAGGAUGGGACUGCGGCCUAUCAGUUUGUUGGUGAGGUAAUGGCCCACCAAGACUAUUACAGGUACGGGCUCUGAGAGGAGUGGCCCGGAGAUGGGUACUGAGACACGGACCCAGGCCCUAUGGGGCGCAGCAGGCGAGAAAACUUUGCAAUGUGCGAAAGCACGGCAAGGUUAAUCCGAGUGGUUUCUGCUAAAGAAACCUUUUGUCAGUCCUAGAAACACUAACGAAUAAGGGGUGGGCAAGUUCUGGUGUCAGCCGCCGCGGUAAAACCAGCACCUCAAGUGGUCAGGAUGAUUAUUGGGCCUAAAGCAUCCGUAGCUCGUUUUGUAAGUUUUCGGUUAAAUCCAUACGCUUAACGUAUGGGCUGCCGGGAAUACUGCAUAACUAGGAAGUGGGAGAGGUAGACGGUACUCGGUAGGAAGGGGUAAAAUCCUUUGAUCUAUUGAUGACCACCUGUGGCGAAGGCGGUCUACCAGAACACGUUCGACGGUGAGGGAUGAAAGCUGGGGGAGCAAACCCGGAUUAAAUACCCGGGUUAGUCCCAGCUGUAAACUAUGCAAACUCAGUGAUGCAUUGGCUGUGGCCAAUGCAGUGCUGCAGG